rnacentral:rRNA from 1 species
GACGCACGUAGGCGGCUUUGUAAGUAAGAGGUGAAAGACCCACGAGCUCAACUCUGGAAUUGCCUUUUAGACUGCAUCGCUUGAAUCAUGGAGAGGUCAGUGGAAUUCCGAGUGUAGAGGUGAAAUUCGUAGAUAUUCGGAAGAACACCAGUGGCGAAGGCGGCUGACUGGACAUGUAUUGACGCUGAGGUGCGAAAGCGUGGGGAGCAAACAGGAUUAGAUACCCCAGU